CAACACCCCACUCACUCUCUAUCUCAUCUUCUUCUCACUCUCUCUCAGUGUCAAAUCUUAUCGAAACAAUGGCGUACCGCAGCCCCGGCCACCACCAAACAAGGCGAAGUGAUCGAGUCAACAAUAUCUCCUCCACCACAGCUGCUGCCUCAGAAACCUCACCCACCAGAGCAAGCAGAAUCCAACCAUCCACAACAUCAAGUGGGAGUGUACAAGGACAAGUGAUGGGAUUCAUGACAUUGCUAAUAUCAGGAGGAAUAUUACUAUGCUUAACAGGAAUAACGUUGACUGGAAUCGGAUUUUGGGGACUGCUUCUCAGAUGAGAGACUAUGCUUGGGAGUAUGGUGGGUAUAUACAAAGUAAGGUUAAAGAUGUUGCUCCUGGAGCUUAGUUUUACCAAUUCCAUUGCAAAAGAGUACACUCGCACCUCUCUGUUUUGGCUGCUGUUCUUUUUUUCCUUUUUUAAGUAAUAAUGAAACUUUUUGUUGAUGGUUUUGAGCUCAAA